GGUUGACCUCGGAUCAGGUAGGGAUACCCGCUGAACUUAAGCAUAUCAAUAAGCGGAGGAAAAGAAACCAACAGGGAUUGCCCCAGUAACGGCGAGUGAAGCGGCAAGAGCUCAAAUUUGAAAGCUGGCUCCUUCGGGGUCCGCA
rnacentral:rRNA from 1 species